GACGAACGCUGGCGGCGUGCCUAACACAUGCAAGUCGAACGGAGAAUUUUAUUUCGGUAGAAUUCUUAGUGGCGAACGGGUGAGUAACGCGUAGGCAACCUGCCCUUUAGACGGGGACAACAUUCCGAAAGGAGUGCUAAUACCGGAUGUGAUCAUCGUGCCGCAUGGCAGGAUGAAGAAAGAUGGCCUCUACAAGUAAGCUAUCGCUAAAGGAUGGGCCUGCGUCUGAUUAGCUAGUUGGUAGUGUAACGGACUACCAAGGCGAUGAUCAGUAGCCGGUCUGAGAGGAUGAACGGCCACAUUGGGACUGAGACACGGCCCAAACUCCUACGGGAGGCAGCAGUGGGGAAUCUUCCGCAAUGGACGAAAGUCUGACGGAGCAACGCCGCGUGAGUGAUGAAGGAUUUCGGUCUGUAAAGCUCUGUUGUUUAUGGCGAACGUGCAGUGUGUGAACAAUGCAU
rnacentral:rRNA from 1 species